ensembl:lncRNA
GUAAGGGCGGAACUGAAAAAGUGACGGAGAUUGGUUCCGCCCGGACCAUAAUUCUCAAACAUCGGUUACUUCCGGGAACUCCGGGAAAGGAAAUCAGGGUUUCAUGGAUCGCAGGUGGAUAGAUGAGCGGGGCGAUCGCGGAUUGGGCAGUGUGAAGAGAAGGAGGAGUAUAAAGAGGGCCUCAGAAACUGCAGAGGGGGAGUUUUUAUUCUAGCCAAUACGGCGAGUGAGUUGGAGUGUUUGGGCGAGUGCAGCGGAAAGAAGGCGGAGGAUAUUGUUGGCUGGGCGAAGAUGGAGACAAGGGUUUGGCAGAAACAGAAACCGGGCUGAGUAUAUUGGGAUGUCUACCUAACUGUGAAAUGCUCUAUGGACAUGUGUAACAAAUUCUGAGUGGUUAAAAACAGGAAGACUCACUGGAAGUAUCGCCGAAGGAGGCCCUUUCGACAGGUCACGUGGGAGCAGGAGAAGUAUCCAGGAGCUGGAAAGAAGAGGGAAAAGAGACCUCGUGUUAGUAACGGUGUGGGUACCCUAAACCAUCGUACAGCAGCAUAAUCAUCUAGAGUGAACUAUCUGUGAGCCUUUUUGUGAGUUUGUGGCAUAGUAUGUGAGCAGCCCCACCGUGGAGGAGGAUUGUGGGUGAGCCGGGACCAGUGAGCGAGAGAAGACGUUGUGGUGUCGUGGCGGCGACGUUUAAAUCUGAAUAUUCGUUGCAUCAGUGUCUCCAUGAUUUCCAGGACGAGUCUUUGGUCAGACGGGGUUUUGACCCUAAAUUCACCAAGAGUGUGUGGAGUGCAGUGGGUGAGUCUUUGUCCUUUGCUGUGAGUGUGUACACUUGAAACUUUCAGUGUUGUGCUGUGUUUGUGUCGUCAACAACCACCUUUCAGGCCCGACGAAAUCCUGGAAGGAAGUGAGUACUGAGGCGGGCGAAGAAAACAUCUCCAAUUAUAUGCCGUCGAUGACAUCCUGACCCUUCUUCCCCACGUGACGGUGGCGGGAAACAAUUUCAAAUCUCUUGCCCUGUCGGUUGGAAGAAAGAAGAGGGAAGCGUUCGACCCAUUCAGUGUAGCACACCCCGGGUGAAACAACUUACCUGUGUGUGACACCAGUGGAGGCCGUGUUCGGCCCAACGCAGCAGCAGCUUUCGAUCCGCAUCUCUAUCAGCAGUUGGUUGAAGCCUCAGAAAAGGAAUGCCUGACGUCUAUUUCCUCAAAGACUUACCUGUGCCCCGAGUGAAGAGCCAGCGGCCCCUCUGUCCACUGUCCGUGUCCAGUCCUGUUAUACUUACCUGUAUGUUCUUGUGCAGAUCUAGCGGGUCCCUUUGAAGCGUCUACCUGCACGUUGACCCGUCACUCAGGAUACAGAAACCGCGGAAACCCCCCCCCGUACACUUACCAGUAUGGUUUCAGUUGGAUCCCGGCAGCCAUUGUGCAGCUCCACCAGCAUCUGGACGACCGGGAGUCCAACCCGCUGGGCCGCCUCGGAGUUCGCCAUGAGUAGCAGCAGGUAUCCAUCGUGCAUUCAAACUCUCAAUACGUACCACUUAUAUCUGUUACGUCCAGGAAAGGAGAGGGCCCUGGACAGUCGUCCUGCAAGCCAGAACAAAGGGGCACUUGUGAAUAAGCUGAUUGUCGUCACAUAGCCAGAAGGAAAGAGGAGUGAAGGACUCACCUGAGAUCUCCCACGACGGAGUCUAAGAGACUCGGACUCACCUGAGAUCUCCCGCGAUGGAGUCUAAGAGACUCGAGACUGUUACUCUCCAAUUGGAGAGUUGGAUUUUAGCCUCCCUUCCCCCCUGCCCCAU